CCGGCUAAUUCCGUGCCAGCAGCCGCGGUAAUACGGAAGGUGCAAGCGUUAAUCGGAAUUACUGGGCGUAAAGCGCGCGUAGGUGGUUUGUUAAGUUGGAUGUGAAAGCCCUGGGCUCAACCUAGGAACUGCAUCCAAAACUAACUCACUAGAGUACGAUAGAGGGAGGUAGAAUUCAUAGUGUAGCGGUGGAAUGCGUAGAUAUUAUGAAGAAUACCAGUGGCGAAGGCGGCCUCCUGGAUCUGUACUGACACUAAGGUGCGAAAGCGUGGGUAGCGAACAGGAUUAGAUACCCUGGUAGUCCACGCCGUAAACGAUGACAACUAGCUGUUGGGAGACAAUGUCUUUCAGUGGCGCAGCUAACGUUUUAAGUUGUCCGCCUGGGGAGUACGGCCGCAAGGCUAAAACUCAAAUGAAUUGACGGGGACCCGCACAAGCGGUGGAGCAUGUGGUUUAAUUCGAUGCAACGCGAAAAACCUUACCUACUCUUGACAUACUUGGAAGCUCUUGUAAUGAGAGUGUGCCUUUUGGAACCAAGAUACAGGUGCUGCAUGGCUGUCGUCAGCUCGUGUCGUGAGAUGUUCCGUUAAGUCGGAUAACGAGCGCAACCCUUACCCUUAUUUGCCAGCGAUUCGGUCGGGAACUAUAAGGGGACUGCCGGUGAUAAACCGGAGGAAGGUGAGGACGACGUCAAGUCAUCAUGGCCCUUACGAGUAGGGCUACACACGUGCUACAAUGGGGAAUACAGACGGACGCUAAGCCGCGAGGUGGUGCUAAUCCUAUAAAGUUCUUCGUAGUCCGGAUUGGAGUCUGCAACUCGACUCCAUGAAGUCGGAAUCGCUAGUAAUCGCGAAUCAGCAUGUCGCGGUGAAUACGUUCUCGGGUCUUGUACACACCGCCCGUCACACCAUGGAAGUGGAUUGCACCAGAAGUAGAUAGUCUAACCUUCGGGAGGGCGUUUACCACGGUGUGCUUCAUGACUGGGGUGAAGUCGUAACAAGGUAGCCGUAGGGGAACCUGUGGCUG
rnacentral:rRNA from 1 species